GACGAACGCUGGCGGCGUGCCUAAUACAUGCAAGUCGAACGCAGUGGGGACGGUUGAGUAACACGUGGGUAACCUCCCAUCAGAGGGGAUAACACUUGGCAACAGGUGCUAAACCGAUACUGAUUGAUGGACCCGCGGGGCAUUAGCUAGUUGGGGGGGUAACGGCUCACCAAGGCGACGAUGCAUAGCCGACCUGAGAGGGUGAUCAGCCACACUGGGACUGAGACACGGCCCAGACUCCUACGGGAGGCAGCAGUAGGGAAUAUUCGGCAAUGGACGAAAGUCUGACCGAGCAACGCCGCGUGAGUGAAGAAGGUUUUCGGAUCGUAAAGCUCUGUUGUUAGAGAAGCGGUAUCUAACCAGAAAGCAACGGCUAACUACGUGCCAGCAGCCGCGGUAAUUC
rnacentral:rRNA from 1 species